GCGACAAGGCGUGGUCGGUGGAAGUGUGCGGAAGCCCCAUAUUUCUUGGUUCAUUCUGGCUUCUACGUUUCUCUCAGAGGUGAUGCCGCAUUAUUUGUUUGAGAAGGAAAUUCUGGAGGCUCUCUUCUUCGAUGUAAGUGACGAUGACGAAACUUCUAGUGAUGCUGACAACAUCAAUAACCCAUUAGCCGCUUAUAUCUGUGAUAUGGACUCUCUUGAAUCAUAUUCCGGAGACGGUGAUGACUCUGCUAACACAUAUUCUG